CCUACAUUGGCUAAAGUUGGAUCUAAGAGAGAUAAUACUAUCAACUAUAGAUCCUAGAUAACAGCUAUUUUCCUCUCCAGAUCCAUUAAGCAUCUUAAUAAAUUCCCAUUGUCACUCUCAAAUUCAAAUUUUGAGAAGCCACAAUCACCUGCAAACACCAUUGCUUGAUAAAUUCCCCAAGCUUCAGCUGUAGUUGCGCAAGGGAUUCCAUGUCGGAGCCACGUUCCAGAUGCCAUCGCCAAUCCUUCGCAGUUACGGGCUACAACACCGAUUCCCCACAGGAAUUCGCGCGCUCUGUAGGCUAUAGGAUGGGAUAGCGUUGCUGGGAAGGACAGAAUCAGAGACUUGAGCCAUUUUGAAGCUGUGAAGACUAGAGCUUGCACGUUGAAUCACAACAUCUCCAGGUACAUCUAUGUUUUCAAACACCUUUUGGUUUCGCGCAUGCCAGAUACUGUAGAGCAAGGCUGUUAGGGCAAUGAUGGUUUCUUCAUCAUUUUUAAGGAUAAAAUUGGUAAUCCAAUCAUGAAAAUGUAAUACUCCAGAUGAGUGAAAAUUGAUCCCUAGUUGGGAUCCAAACCACUCCUUCUGAGUGACCUCACAAUUGAGAAAAAGAUGUUGAACCGUUUCUAUUUUGGACUCACAUCUGGGACAGAGCAGAGAACACCUAAUGCCUCGUUUGUGGAGUUCAUCCUUGACAGGAAGAGCAUUAUGUAAGAGUCUCCAGAGAAAACUUUUGUGUCUGGGGAUAGUCUUAAUCCCCCAAACUUUCUCCCUUAUAAAUUAGAUGGGCUUACUUUAGAAGAAGCCCAAUUAUGUUGUAAACCCUAAAAUUAGAUAUAAAAACAACAGUAGCAUUCAACAGCCGCAGCCGCCGCAUUCUAUUCGCUUGCUUUCGUAUUCCUUUUCACACUGAUUCUAGAUUUUUCCUAAAGAUUUUCCCAUCAUCAUCAUGAUUUACCAAACAGUUGUAUCAGCUGUUCACACUUGCUACAACAUCGAUUUCAUGCUGAGAAACAUGGUUGUUAAAAUGACAUCUGAUAGAGAGAUAGUAAAAGAGUGGAUUGAAACCGUGACUGUCGAUGUCGGAACGUGGACGGAACUUUUAGACGCAGAGCUCAGAAACGAAUUAGUUAUCGGGUAUACAGCUGCUGGAAGUGAGGUUGAAGGAAGUGCUGUUGCAAUAAUUUUGUCUUAUGGUUCUAGCGUGCUUAUCUACAAGGUACCACCAACACACGAUAUUCCAACAGAACUCACUCCGCCAAUUCAUGUGUAACCCAAGGGUCCAGUUUGUUGGAUUCAAUACUUAUUUAUAUUCUGUUCUACUUGAAAACACUGGCAUUCAGAUGACAAGUCCAGUUGUCGACCUGAUGAUGAACGUCCCCGCCCAUCAACGGAUGUAUUCCUUGAGAGAUAUCAUUCACAGACAGAUCGAUUUAUUGAUUGAAAUUCCGAGGACCAAAUUAAUAUGGUAUCUCUGUUUGCUUUGGAAGAGUUGUAUGUUGCGUUUCCGGACGGAUUAACUUAAUCUCGGUCACUAGAUCACAUGGAACACACGAAAGCUGCUUUAUCAAAGCCGAAGACAUCGGAAGAAUUGCUCUUGAGAUUACUUACUUCUGAUGUUGGGUAUGUGCAGCAAUGGUUGCAAGAGAGGUAAUAAUGGGUGCAGGGGAAAAGGUUGAUUUGGGAUUCUUCGUUGCUAAGACCUUUUUCGAUGAACUUAGUUGCUUUAAUUGCUGCUAUAUGGGUUGAAAAUGUAACAUGCUAACUGACCCCAAGACUGAGCUGCCAAUGGAUGAAAUGGUCCGAUCUAUAUCCGAGAUAUUUGAUCGGAGGCUUGAAAUUUCUUAUCCUUUUUUUUUUUUUUUAUGAUUGUGACAGUUCAUGGGAAGAUGAUCCAUACGGAUGGGUCUCAUCUGGUGACAGUGGAGCUUCACUGAACAGAUAGGUUGCAAAGCACAGGUUAUCAGAUGAUUUCGCUGUAAUGGACAUCUCCCCAUGAACUGUCACAAUCAUAAAAAAAAGGAUAAUAAAUUUCAAGCCUCCGAUCAAAUAGAUCGGAUAUAGAUCGGAUCAUUUCAUCCAUUGGCAGCUCAGUCUUGGGGUCAGUUAGCUUGCAUGUUACAUUUUCAACCCCUAUAGCAGCAAUUAAAGCAACUUUGUGAGCUUCAGCAGUCAUACCCACAAGAUUAUAUCGAGGGUUGCUCAAAAUCACCCUUAGAUUUUCAGGAGGAACCCCACCUGCCAGUCUGUAAGCCAAAACUUGGUUACCAUGUAACAAGCUUAAAAGACAACCUUUAAGUUCAUCGAAACUGGUCUUAGCAACGAAGAAGUUCAUCCAGUGACCGAGAUUAAGUUAAUCCGUCCGAAAACCAACGCAACAUACAACUCUUCCAAAGCAACAGAGAUACCAUAUUAAUUUGGUCCUCGAACAAGUCAUCACCACCCUCAAAAUCUAUCACUCCAUUUGGCAGAAAUUCAAUCAAUAAAAUUUGGAUGUUGGAGUUUUUUUUCUUUAAUUACAAUUGAAUAAAUUCCAAUCUCUAGUAUUUUUGUCAAGUACUUUAAUGGCUAGAACUAAAAUUCACUUUUUAAGUUGUCCGAGGUUGCAUUGAUGUAUGAAUUCACUAUGAUAUUAAAUUGGCCUUUAUUUUGUUUCAAA